GACGAACGCUGGCGGCGUGCUUAACACAUGCAAGUCGAACGGAAAGGCCCUGCUUUUGUGGGGCGCUCGAGUGGCGAACGGGUGAGUAACACGUGAGUAACCUGCCCUUGACUUUGGGAUAACUUCAGGAAACUGGGGCUAAUACCGGAUAGGAGCUCCUGCUGCAUGGUGGGGGUUGGAAAGUUUCGGCGGUUGGGGAUGGACUCGCGGCUUAUCAGCUUGUUGGUGGGGUAGUGGCUUACCAAGGCUUUGACGGGUAGCCGGCCUGAGAGGGUGACCGGCCACAUUGGGACUGAGAUACGGCCCAGACUCCUAAGGGAGGCAGCAGUGGGGAAUAUUGCACAAUGGGCGGAAGCCUGAUGCAGCAACGCCGCGUGCGGGAUGACGGCCUUCGGGUUGUAAACCGCUUUCGCCUGUGACGAAGCGUGAGUGACGGUAAUGGGUAAAGAAGCACCGGCUAACUACGUG
rnacentral:rRNA from 1 species